rnacentral:piRNA from 1 species
CCCCUCUGCCUAUUUGGGGCUACCCACA